AAAUUAUAGAUUUAUUGCUUAUAGUGUAGGAAUUGAAAAAAUAGAAUAGUUAAGUGGUGCCUUUGAAAAAACAGUACAUGUAGAAAGUGAAAAAAAAAAAAAAACUGUGAACUAUAGUGUAAUAUAAUAUAAUUAGUGUAAAGCUACUAUACUUCUGGAAGUAUAAAAGAGUUGGUGCUUCUGACUCUUUAGAUGUUGGAUAAAGGAUUGUAGGGUUGAGAUGAUAGUGGUCUCCACUGGGGAUUAGUGGUCUCCUAGGCUUUAGUGGCCCCUUAGGAGAAUAAUAUUAUUCCAAGGGUUAAAAACGAUCAAAGGAGUUAAUCCGAGGGUU
rnacentral:lncRNA from 1 species